rfam:Rhodnius prolixus Rhodnius_prolixus-3.0.3-205.29, whole genome shotgun sequence.
UCAACGGCCCUUUUCAGGGCCACCAACUUGAAAAUCACUUAAAAU